rnacentral:rRNA from 1 species
ACCCGUUCCCAUACCGAACACGGAAGUUAAGCUCUCUAGCGCCGAUGGUAGUUGGGACCUUGUCCCUGUGAGAGUAGGACGUCGC